GCCUCCGUGGCGGAAUGGUAUACGCAGUCGACUUAAAAUCGACCGCUUCGGCUUGUGGGUUCGAGUCCCACCGGAGGCACCC
rnacentral:tRNA from 2 species